GAGUUUGAUCCUGGCUCAGGAUGAACGCUGGCGGCGUGCUUAACACAUGCAAGUCGAACGGGCUCAUAUUGAAACCUAGUGAUGUAUGAGUUAGUGGCGGACGGGUGAGUAACGCGUGGAGAACCUGCCGUAUACUGGGGGAUAACACUUAGAAAUAGGUGCUAAUACCGCAUAAGCGCACAGCUUCGCAUGAAGCAGUGUGAAAAACUCCGGUGGUAUACGAUGGAUCCGCGUCUGAUUAGCUGGUUGGCGGGGUAACAGCCCACCAAGGCGACGAUCAGUAGCCGGCCUGAGAGGGUGAACGGCCACAUUGGGACUGAGACACGGCCCAAACUCCUACGGGAGGCAGCAGUGGGGAAUAUUGCACAAUGGGGGAAACCCUGAUGCAGCGACGCCGCGUGAGUGAAGAAGUAUUUCGGUAUGUAAAGCUCUAUCAGCAGGGAAGAAAUACUGACCUUACGGUCAGCAGACGGUACCUGACUAAGAAGCCCCGGCUAACUACGUGCCAGCAGCCGCGGUAAUACGUAGGGGGCAAGCGUUAUCCGGAUUUACUGGGUGUAAAGGGAGCGUAGACGGCAGCGCAAGUCUGAAGUGAAAUCCCAUGGCUUAACCAUGGAACUGCUUUGGAAACUGUGC
rnacentral:rRNA from 1 species